ACUACCACGAUUUGCUGGGAUUGCUGUAGAACUUUAAGAAAGAUCACCAACUCCACAAAGAGUUGGUGAAUAUAGUGGGAGGGUCUUCUUCUGGAUGUCGAUCCUUUAAGAAAGAAAAGAAAAAUAAGAAGAACAAGAAAAGGGUGCAAAGUGCUAGGGCACCCAAGUCCAGUUAGACCAAAAAACCCAAGUCCGAUCAGAGUC
rnacentral:lncRNA from 1 species